GGGGGCAUUCCCCAACACCCCGUUAUCACGAAAUAAACCUUAAUCCCAAAAAUAAAGAAUGCCCCCCGCCCCCACCCCAUGGGAACAGUGCAGUCUGCAAUGGGGGGCACACAGAAAGGGUCCACAGAGGGGGCGUCCCCAGAUUUGGGAUGUGACGCCAUGGUGGGGAUGUGGGGGCACUCCCACCUCUGGGACAGACCCCAACUUUGGGCUGUGACACUGUGGGGGUGUCCCCAACUUGGGGGUCUGACACCAUCGGGGGGACACAGAGCUGUCCCAACUUUCGGGUGUGACACUGUGUAGGGCGUCCCCAACUUUGGGGUGUGACACUGCAGGGGUGUCCCCAAACUUUGGGUGUCCCCAACUUUGAGAUGUGACACUGUCGGGGCGUCCCCAACUUUGGGGUGUGACACUGCGGGAUGUCCCCAACUUUGAGGUGUGACACUGUGGGGGCGCCCCAACUUUGGGGUGUGACACGGUGACGCGGUGCCCCCACUUCCCCUGGGAAGUCCUCAAGCUGCUCACGGUGUCCCCAACUUCGACGCAAUGCCCCCAGGGGGGUCCUUUUGGCCCCUCUGCGUGACGG
ensembl:lncRNA